rnacentral:rRNA from 1 species
GACGAACGCUGGCGGCGUGCUUAACACAUGCAAGUCGAACGAAGUGGCGAACGGGUGAGUAAUACGUGGGUAACCUGCCCUCCUUUUUGGGAUAAGCCGUGGAAACGGGGUCUAAUACCGUAUAAAGGGGGUUGGGCUUGCGGGCUAUCAGCUUGUUGGUGGGGGGAUGGCCUACCAAGGCGGUGACGGGUAGCCGGCCUGAGAGGGUGACCGGCCUCAUUGGUACUGCGAUACGGCCCAGCCCCCUACGGGAGGCAGCAGGGGGCGCUUUUGCGCUAGGGGCGAAAGCCUGUUGCAGCGACGCCGUGUGGGGGAUGGAGGCUUUCGGGUUGUAAACCUUGUUCGCGAUUGAACGGGUAGGUGGUGAAGAAGCGCCGGCUAACUACGUGCCAGCCGCCGCGGUAAUUC